AUGCAAAUCACCGGCAGCGCAGGGCAUGGGUCAGCAGGAAGUCCUUCCUCCCAGUGCCGCUUCUCAGACUGCUAACCAGGACUCGUGUGAACCUCUCCGGAGACUCAGAUAAAAUGAAAAAGAGAAAGGAUGUGGUCGCCGCUUUAGAGAUUAAUGAGGAAAACAAGCGGAAUGAAAGGGCUUUGCCACCAAGCACAGAAAGCAGAGGAAAGAGCCCUCCUUUUCAGAGAAAUGGGACUUGGCUGAGGGACGCAGGACAUGCCAUCAUUCUCAAGCUUGUGGCCAGCUCCUUGGUGCAGACCACCUAAUAGAGACACUGCAGUGUGAAACAAACUUUGUUCAUCCAUAAACUGGAUUGCUCAGCAAAUAUUUAUUGAGCACCUGCUGCGGGCUAAGCCCUGAUCCCCGUUGUGAGGACUCAUCAAUAAAUGAGACAGAAAAGGACUCUUCUCUCCUAAAGCUGACCUGCUUGGAAACAGGAGCACGCUGCAAGAUGGAUUUCCGAGAAGGAUGCAUACUUUGAAGAAUUAUAAAGAAGGGAUGUGGGGGAGGGGAGCGGAGGUGGCAUGUGAUGUAAAUUGCAGUUUUCCUGAAGGGCACCAUCCACAUGGACAUCCAGGAGCUCUGAGUAGAGUUCUGAACCAGGGAGGGGCUGGGUGUAAGGAGAACUGGCUGAGCAAAGAGAGGAGCAAGGAUCCUGGAGUGGGGCGGGGUGCGUGGACACAUCGGAGGGGCCAAGUGUCCAGGGUCGAAACAACCUACAGGUCCCUGUGUUUGGCUGGCCGAGUCCUAAAAUGAAGGCAAUGGGGGAGCAGUCUGACAGGUCCACAUGCAUCAACCUCCCGGAUACAGAGCAGGGGAAUGGGCGGAUCAUGGCCCUGGAAAAGCCGGUACCCCAGCUCGGCACAAAACAGUCUUAGGGAUGAGCCCCUCCCGGAGACCAAAGGAUGGAGGCUGCAUCGAGGAGCACUCCCUGAGGAGCUGGCCCACUCCUGCAUCCCCAGUGCCAACCCCUGCAAACACCAGGCUGCAUGCUGGCCAUGCCUAGAGGGACCAAGCUGGGAAGGGCAGGACUUGCUCACAGACAAGAGGAAAAAUGAGCAGAUUGAAGUAGGAACAUGGCCACUGCAUUCUCCCCCCGGCAUGCAAGGCAACAUGGGCCCUGGGCCCAGGACCUUGGCCGACAGUGUUAUCACCUGGAUCCCAGUCUACCGGGGUGAUGUCUGGCUUCCCCCACACAACUGA
rnacentral:lncRNA from 1 species